rnacentral:misc_RNA from 1 species
GAUGAAGAACGUAGCGAAAUGCGAUAAAUAAUGUGAAUUGCAGAAUUCAGUGAAUCAUCGAAUCUUUGAACGCACAUUGCGCCCCCUGGUAUUCCGGGGGGCAUGCCUGUUCGAGCGCCAUUUCACCACUCAAGCCUCGCUUGGUAUUGGGCAACGCGGUCCGCCGCGUGCCUCAAAUCGACCGGCUGGGUCUUCUGUCCCCUAAGCGUUGUGGAAACUAUUCGCUAAAGGGUGUUCGGGAGGCUACGCCGUAAAACAACCCCAUUUCUAAGGUUGACCUCGGAUCAGGUAGGGAUACCCGCUGAACUUAAGCAUAUCAAUAAGCGGAGGA